rnacentral:rRNA from 1 species
UAACACAUGCAAGUCGAGCGGUAACAGAAAGUAGCUUGCUACUUUGCUGACGAGCGGCGGACGGGUGAGUAAUGCUUGGGAACAUGCCUUGAGGUGGGGGACAACAGUUGGAAACGACUGCUAAUACCGCAUAAUGUCUACGGACCAAAGGGGGCUUCGGCUCUCGCCUUUAGAUUGGCCCAAGUGGGAUUAGCUAGUUGGUGAGGUAAUGGCUCACCAAGGCGACGAUCCCUAGCUGGUUUGAGAGGAUGAUCAGCCACACUGGGACUGAGACACGGCCCAGACUCCUACGGGAGGCAGCAGUGGGGAAUAUUGCACAAUGGGCGCAAGCCUGAUGCAGCCAUGCCGCGUGUGUGAAGAAGGCCUUCGGGUUGUAAAGCACUUUCAGUCAGGAGGAAAGGUUAGUAGUUAAUACCUGCUAGCUGUGACGUUACUGACAGAAGAAGCACCGGCUAACUCCGUGCCAGCAGCCGCGGUAAUACGGAGGGUGCGAGCGUUAAUCGGAAUUACUGGGCGUAAAGCGUACGCAGGCGGUUUGUUAAGCGAGAUGUGAAAGCCCCGGGCUCAACCUGGGAACUGCAUUUCGAACUGGCAAACUAGAGUGUGAUAG